GGUCAGGCACCCCAUGCAGGAAGUGAGUAGUACAGGAAAAAACAAGAAGCUCAUGGCUGAAGAUAGCACAGGUUUCAUGACUUACACCCCAAUGUAUCUGUGCUGCAGUGCGAGCCAGCAGGAGAAUAUUCACUGCUGGCAUAGUGACAGCUUAAGAAUGAUUUCUGUGACAGAUGGGCACUGCAGCAUCCAAGGGUUGCAAUCAUGGCAGUGCCUUUAUCAAACUGGUCUCCACUGGGAAACCACCUCCCUUUCACGUGAAAAAGAGCAUUGAGCCAUGGUAAAGAAGUGCUGCUAGUGGAUUGGGAGCUAGAUGCUUUGAAGGACUCAGAAGUAAUGCCAGCAGCACAAUUCUAGUAAGUUAAGAUCAUGACAAGAAGAAAGGAAGCUGCUCAGUAACUGAAGUCGUGUACUGACUACAUUGUGAGGAGUUUUUCCUGCAAAUUUUCCUGCAAUGUACUUUUCUUCAAAAGGUGCCAAUAAUCUUUUCUUUGCUACAAGGUGGAGUAGCAAGCAUUGCUCAAGUACAAUUAGUGCCCAAACCCCUGUCUGGA